UGGAGGAGGAGCAGGAGGUGAAGCUGAAAGCUCUGUCCAGAGAAGUCCGGACCCUGAGGGAGAGAGAGGAGGAGAAGGAGUGGAGGUCCAGGGUGGAGGAGGCGGAGGAGACGGAUGGACUGAGGAGGAGAGACAGAGAGACGGACAAGGAGGAGAAAGGAGGAGGAGAGGUGAGCUGGUUUCUACCAACGUUAUGCUUUAAAGCUCUUCAUACAAACUGCAGAAAAGUGAUUCAAUAGUUAACUGUCUUCCUGAGGAGGAGCAGAACUCCUCUCUGGAGAAGGAGGAGCAGAACUCCUCUCUGCUGCAGGAGGAGGAGGAGAUCAGGAGGCAGCUGAGGCAAAGAGAAGCCGAGGUGUACACUCUGAGUCAGAGGACGGUGGAGCUGGAGAGGGACAGGGAUCGCGUCCGAUUGGCUCUGGAGAGAACUGAGGCGGCUAUGAUUGGCUACAGGGAAAGAGCCCACCAAUGGGAGCAGAGCGUGGAGGCGGGCUCUAACACGGACGAGGUCAGUGAGUCUACUCUGAUAGACAGAAUCGGAGUUUCGGGCUUCCGGUGGAAUCGCAAUGCAUGCUGGGGUGGCAAGCCUAGAAAAGUGAGCACCAACUCUA
rnacentral:lncRNA from 1 species